AGAGUUUGAUCCUGGCUCAGGAUGAACGCUGGCGGCGUGCUUAACACAUGCAAGUCGAGCGAUUCUCUUCGGAGAAGAGCGGCGGACGGGUGAGUAACGCGUGGGUAACCUGCCCUGUACACACGGAUAACAUACCGAAAGGUAUGCUAAUACGAGAUAAUAUGCUUUUAUCACAUGGUAGAAGUAUCAAAGCUCCGGCGGUACAGGAUGGACCCGCGUCUGAUUAGCUAGUUGGUAAGGUAACGGCUUACCAAGGCGACGAUCAGUAGCCGACCUGAGAGGGUGAUCGGCCACAUUGGAACUGAGACACGGUCCAAACUCCUACGGGAGGCAGCAGUGGGGAAUAUUGCACAAUGGGCGAAAGCCUGAUGCAGCAACGCCGCGUGAGCGAUGAAGGCCUUCGGGUCGUAAAGCUCUGUCCUCAAGGAAGAUAAUGACGGUACUUGAGGAGGAAGCCCCGGCUAACUACGUGCCAGCAGCCGCGGUAAUACGUAGGGGGCUAGCGUUAUCCGGAAUUACUGGGCGUAAAGGGUGCGUAGGUGGUUUCUUAAGUCAGAGGUGAAAGGCUACGGCUCAACCGUAGUAAGCCUUUGAAACUGGGAAACUUGAGUGCAGGAGAGGAGAGUGGAAUUCCUAGUGUAGCGGUGAAAUGCGUAGAUAUUAGGAGGAACACCAGUUGCGAAGGCGGCUCUCUGGACUGUAACUGACACUGAGGCACGAAAGCGUGGGGAGCAAACAGGAUUAGAUACCCUGGUAGUCCACGCCGUAAACGAUGAGUACUAGCUGUCGGAGGUUACCCCCUUCGGUGGCGCAGCUAACGCAUUAAGUACUCCGCCUGGGAAGUACGCUCGCAAGAGUGAAACUCAAAGGAAUUGACGG
rnacentral:rRNA from 1 species